rnacentral:rRNA from 1 species
GACAGAGGAUGCAAGCGUUAUCCGGAAUGAUUGGGCGUAAAGAGUCCGUAGGUGGUUUGUCAAGUCUGUGGUUAAAGCGUGGAGCUCAACUCCAUAACGGCCAUGGAAACUGACAGACUAGAGUUAAGUAGGGGUAGAGGGAAUUCCCAGUGUAGCGGUGAAAUGCGUAGAGAUUGGGAAGAACACCGGUGGCGAAAGCGCUCUACUGGACCUAUACUGACACUGAGAGACGAAAGCUAGGGGAGCAAAUGGG